GAUGAACGCUGGCGGUAUGCUUAACACAUGCAAGUCGAACGGACUCUUCGGAGUUAGUGGCGGACGGGUGAGUAACGCGUGAGAAUCUGGCUUUGGGUUCGGGACAACCACUGGAAACGGUGGCUAAUACCGGAUGUGCCGAGAGGUAAAAGAGAAAUUGCCUGAAGAUGAGCUCGCGUCUGAUUAGCUAGUUGGUGAGGUAAAGGCUCACCAAGGCAGCGAUCAGUAGCUGGUCUGAGAGGAUGACCAGCCACACUGGGAAUGAGACACGGCCCAGACUCCUACGGGGGGCAGCAGGGGGGAAUGUUCCGCAAUGGGCGAAAGCCUGACGGAGCAAUACCGCGUGAGGGAAGAAGUCUCUUGGGUUGUAAACCUCUGUUCUUAGGGAAGAACAAAAUGACGGUACCUAAGGAAUCAGCAUCGGCUAACUCCGUG
rnacentral:rRNA from 1 species